rnacentral:rRNA from 1 species
GACGAACGCUGGCGGCGUGCUUAACACAUGCAAGUCGAACGGAAAGGCCCUGCUUUUGUGGGGUGCUCGAGUGGCGAACGGGUGAGUAACACGUGAGUAACCUGCCCUUGACUUUGGGAUAACUUCAGGAAACUGGGGCUAAUACCGGAUAGGAGCUCCUGCUGCAUGGUGGGGGUUGGAAAGUUUCGGCGGUUGGGGAUGGACUCGCGGCUUAUCAGCUUGUUGGUGGGGUAGUGGCUUACCAAGGCUUUGACGGGUAGCCGGCCUGAGAGGGUGAACGGCCACAUUGGGACUGAGAUACGGCCCAGACUCCUACGGGAGGCAGCAGGGGGGAAUAUUGCACAAUGGGCGGAAGCCUGAUGCGGCAACGCCGCGUGCGGGAUGACGGCCUUCGGGUUGUAAACCGCUUUCGCCUGUGACGAAGCGUGAGUGACGGUAAUGGGUAAAGAAGCACCGGCUAACUACGUG